GGCAAUUAGCUCAGUCAGUUAGAGCGUGGUGCUGAUAACACCAAGGUAGCGGGUUCAGUCCCUGUGUGUUGUCU
rnacentral:tRNA from 1 species